UACGUAGGGUGCAAGCGUUGUCCGGAAUUAUUGGGCGUAAAGAGCUCGUAGGCGGUUUGUCGCGUCUGCUGUGAAAAACCCGAGGCUCAACCUCGGGCCUGCAGUGGGUACGGGCAGACUAGAGUGCGGUAGGGGAGAUUGGAAUUCCUGGUGUAGCGGUGGAAUGCGCAGAUAUCAGGAGGAACACCAGUGGCGAAGGCGCUUUCUGGUCUGUAACUGACGCUGAGGCGCGAAAGCGUGGGGGAGCAAACAGG
rnacentral:rRNA from 1 species